UGGGGAAUAUUGGACAAUGGGCGCAAGCCUGAUCCAGCAAUGCCGCGUGUGUGAAGAAGGCCUUCGGGUUGUAAAGCACUUUUAUCAGGAGCGAAACGCUGUCGGCUAAUACCCGGCGGAACUGACGGUACCUGAGGAAUAAGCACCGGCUAACUUCGUGCCAGCAGCCGCGGUAAUACGAAGGGGUGCAAGCGUUAAUCGGAAUUACUGGGCGUAAAGCGUGCGUAGGCGGUUUCUUAAGUCUGCUGUGAAAUCCCCGGGCUCAACCUGGGAAUGGCAGUGGAUACUGGGAGGCUAGAGUGUGUCAGAGGGUGGUGGAAUUCCCGGUGUAGCGGUGAAAUGCGUAGAGAUCGGGAGGAACAUCAGUGGCGAAGGCGGCCACCUGGGGACAACACUGACGCUGAGGCACGAAAAGCGUGGGGAGCAAACAGGAUUAGAUACCCUGGUAGUCCACGCCCUAAAACGAUGCGAACUGGAUGUUGGUCUCAACUCGGAGAUCAGUGUCGAAGCUAACGCGUUAAGUUCGCCGCCCUGGGGAGUACGGUCGCAAGACUGAAACUCAAAUG
rnacentral:rRNA from 1 species